UAAAAAUUCAUGAAAUAACGAAAAUUAUCAGUACAAUAAAAAUAAAUGAAAUCAAUAAAAAUUAAUGAAAUAAUGAAAAUUAACAAUACAAUAAAAAUAAAUACAUUAAAAUUGAUAAUACAAUAAAAAUUAACUCAAUAAUGUUUUUCCUCAACAACAUCUCCAUGACUUAAACACAUUGUGGCCAGAACGUUCCACUUUUGUUAAUAUAUCAUAUUAGAUGAACAUUUUAUGAAAAUCACCAGAGGUCUCACUCACAAUUGGAAAACACUCUUUAAAUGUUGUUUUGAGAACGUUUCUACUUUGUAGUCAUAGAACAUAAUCUGUGUUCCUGACUACAUCUUCUGAAUGUUGACGCUAAAAGAAUCAUAUUAACUUUACAGGAACAUUUCUGGAAAUGAAAAUAUUUGUAAAAUGUAGUUUAAACAUUAGACUAAAACAUGAUUAGAACCUGCAGCUAAUGUUAUCCAGAGUGGUGGGAACGUUCUCCUGUGGAGCUUCAGAACUUCACCUCCACUGUGUUUCAUGUUUCAGAAUGGGAAGCGCCUUUAUAGAAGUGGCAGGAAGUGGAUUCAGGCUGAUCCUGGUUCUGGAGAGACCGGUUCCCUCCGGAGGGCAGUGGAGGUUUGCUGGAGGAGGCGGAGGCCAAGCCUCCAUCCAGCCGUCCGUGGAAAGGGGAUCUCUCUUUGAAUUGCCUUUCCCGAGGUUUCUUCCCAUCUUCCAUGGGGAGUUUUUUCUCGUCUUCAUAGAGAGCUUGGGCUGGAUCAAGACCUCCUCAAAAAUAAAACUUCAUUAUAAUAAAUAACACAUCAUUAUAGAUUA